CAAGGAAUCUUCCGCAAUUGGCGAAAGCCUGACGGAGCAACGCCGCGUGUGGGAUGACGCCUUUCGGGGUGUAAACCACUUUUCUCAGGGAAGAAGCACUGACGGUACCUGAGGAAUAAGGACCGGCUAACUACGUGCCAGCAGCCGCGGUAAUACGUAGGGUCCGAGCGUGGUCCGGAGGUACUGGGCGUAAAGCGCGCGCAGGCGGCUGUGUAAGCAUGGCGUGAAAGCCCCAGGCUUAACCUGGGAGGGUCGUCGUGGACUGCCCCGGUUGAGUGCCGUAGGGGCUGGUGGAAUGCCUGGUGUAGUGGUGGAAUGCGUAGCGAUCAGGCGGAACACCCGUGGCGAAGGCGGCCAGCUGGGCCGUACCUGAAGCGGAGGCGCGAAGGGGUGGGGAGCGAACGGG
rnacentral:rRNA from 1 species